AAACCAACAGGGAUUACCUCAGUAACGGCGAGUGAAGCGGUAACAGCUCAAAUUUGAAAUCUGGGUCUUUCAGGCUCCGAGUUGUAAUUUGUAGAAGAUGCUUCGGGUGCGGCUCCGGUCUAAGUUCCUUGGAACAGGACGUCAUAGAGGGUGAGAAUCCCGUAUGUGAUCGGUUGCUUGCGCCCAUGUGAAGCUCUUUCGACGAGUCGAGUUGUUUGGGAAUGCAGCUCAAAAUGGGUGGUAAAUUUCAUCUAAAGCUAAAUAUUGGCCAGAGACCGAUAGCGCACAAGUAGAGUGAUCGAAAGAUGAAAAGCACUUUGGAAAGAGAGUGAAACAGUACGUGAAAUUGUUGAAAGGGAAGCGCUUGCGAGCAGACUUGAUUUUGGCAUUCAGCGGUUCGCGUGGACCGUGUAUUUUGUCAGUAACAAGCCAGCAUCAGUUUCCGGGGUUGGAUAAAAGCAUUGGGAAUGUAGCUUUGCCUCGGUCGAGUGUUAUAGCCCUUUGCAGAAUACAGCCACUGGAGACUGAGGACCGCCUUUUGUAGGAUGCUGGCGUAAUGGUUGCAAGCGGC
rnacentral:rRNA from 1 species